rnacentral:SRP_RNA from 1 species
GCCAGACAUGGUGGCACACCUGCAGUCCUAAUUACUCAGGAGGCUGAUGUGGGAGGAUCACUUGAGCACAGGAGUUCUGAGUUGUAAUGCCAAUCAGGUGUCCGCACUAAGUUUGGCAUCAAUAUGUUAGGGAGUGGGGGACCACCUGGGAAUGGGGCACCACCAGGUUGCCUGAGGAGGGGUGAAUUGGCCCAGGUUGGAGACGGAGCAGGUCAAAACUCCUGUGCUGAUCAGUAGUGGGAUCUUGCCUGUGAAUAGCCACUGCACUUCAGCCUGGGCAACAUAGCGAGACCCUGUCUCA